CGCCGUUCGCCAAGUGCUAUCAGGCCCAGACGUCCCUUCGCUCAGUGUGGGACACAGAGGAGGACCAUGGACAUUUUUUGGAGACGCCAGACUUACUGACCACCAAAUCCCUCCAGGCUCCCAAUAGAGACAGCUCCCAGGAUCCAAGGAGAGCUGCGGGACUCAGAGAGAGUCAAAAUACAUGGCCAAGAAAAAUGCCAAGAAGGAAGUGACAGGCAGGAACUGGCAACGAGAUCCUGAGGAGGAGGGAACAUUCUCCCUGGCCAGUGAAGACGUCCUGAAGAAUAGAACCAUCAAGAGAGCCAAGCGGAGACAUGCUCGACCCCAGUCCGAGGGUAAAGGGACUUCCAAAGGGAUUAAAAAUUUGGCUGUGCCUUCCGGAAAUGGAGAAUUUGGCGGUGGCCCUGAAGAGAAGCCUCUGGAAGUAUUGACAACCAGAAGGAACCCAGCCAGGGCUGCUGCAGAGCCCAAGGCCACCUUGGGUUCUGUUAGUGUAAACGAACCCCCCUCUAUGGACCACGAGCAGGGCUCAGAUGCCCAGACUAAUGUCCACAGUCAGCAUCCUAUCUCCCCAGGCCUUGUUUUCAGUCAAGCUUGCGCUGGGAGUGUCUACCACAGGCAGUUGACUGGCCUGAACUGUUCUGUCCGGGACUGGAUAGUGAAGCACGUGAACGCGAAUCCGUUCUGUGAUCUGACGCCCGUGUUUAAGCAGUACGAGAAAUACUUGGCUGCCAUCGAGAAACAGCUCCACAGCAGCUGCGGCUGUCUUUCUGAAAGUGAACCCAACAGGGAUUUGAUUGGGACGCAACCUCCUUCACUAGUUGUUGACAAGGAACUACAGCCCCAGUUGGUCUCAUCUGAAAAGACGGAGUCUAUGUGUGAGAAGAAAGCCGACACAGCACAAGGAGCAACAAGUAUCUCAGGUCAUUUUGGCAAAAACAUUGAAACCCCAGUUUGGGGUUCCUUAAACUCUGGUCCCACCAAUGGAGUUUCAUCGUCUACCAAAAGCUCCAGCUUAGGUGGGAAAGGCACCAGUCCGAGGAAGCCAGCGUCUGCAAAAGCCCUGGAGAGUCCAACACAAGACAGCAGCGAGGAAGGCAAAGGCAAAAGGGAUGAACCACCCAAAGAGCUCCUUGUCGAAGAGAAGGAGGAGAGCGCUUUCUACUGCAAGAAGUGUAAACUAUUUUACAAGAAAGACAACGAAUUUAAAGAAAAAGGUGUUGGCACGCUAUAUUUAAAGUCCACAGCCAAUCAGAAGACACGGCUCUUAGUGCAGGACACUAAGUUAGACAACAUACUCCUGAAUAUUCUGAUCCCACCCGAUAUGCCAUGUACCCGAAUGGGGAAAAAUAAUGUUCUUAUUGUCUGUGUACCCAAUCCACCACUUGAUAAGAAGAACGCCGCCAUCAAGGUCACCAUGCUGAUUCGGGUCAAAACAAGUAAGGAUGCUGAUGAACUGCACAAAAUUUUACAGCAGAAAACGGAUGUCUGAACACGCAAAAUCCACCUGGGAACUUGUCAAGCUCCUACGUUUUUUGUGCUGCCCCCAAACGUAAUUUUUCCAUCUUUUUGCGUAUGGCACCCUAAAAACUUACAAUAACAAAAAUUUUGUGGACAAAAUUAAGACCAACAAAAACUUCAGUAUUCAGUUGAGUGUGGAGAAAGGGUCCUCCCCUUCUAAGAGCCACCUAACAUGCAAAAUGCAUUUGAAUAAAAGGUUUUGAAAUUUC